AUUGCUUCUUGGUCUUUUGGCUAAGCUCAAGUGUAGUAUCUGUUCUUAUCAGCUUAAUAGCCAGGGAGUUGGUUUUAAAAAAAAUCCUAUUUUGGAGUGUUUAGAUCAGAUCGGGGACCUGAGAGAGAUACUCAGUUUACUAACUAGCCUGGGCUAUUUACA
rnacentral:snRNA from 1 species